AUUGAACGCUGGCGGCAUGCCUUACACAUGCAAGUCGAACGGCAGCACGGGAGCAAUCCUGGUGGCGAGUGGCGAACGGGUGAGUAAUAUAUCGGAACGUGCCCAGUCGUGGGGAUAACGUAGCGAAAGCUACGCUAAUACCGCAUACGAUCUAUGGAUGAAAGCGGGGGAUCGCAAGACCUCGCGCGAUUGGAGCGGCCGAUAUCAGAUUAGGUAGUUGGUGAGGUAAAGGACUCACCAAAGCCGACGAUCUGUAGCUGGUCUGAGAGGACGACCAGCCACACUGGGACUGAGACACGGCCCAGAC
rnacentral:rRNA from 1 species